rnacentral:rRNA from 1 species
UACGAAGGGGGCUAGCGUUGCUCGGAAUUACUGGGCGUAAAGCGCACGUAGGCGGCUUUUUAAGUCGGAGGUGAAAUCCUGGAGCUCAACUCCAGAACUGCCUUCGAUACUGGGAAGCUUGAGUUCGGGGAGAGGUGAGGUGGAACUGCGAGUGUAGAGGUGAAAAUUCGUAGAUAUUCGCAAGAACACCAGUGGCGAAGGCGGCUCACUGGCCCGAUACUGACGCUGAGGUGCGAAAGCGUGGGGAGCAAACAGG